rnacentral:tRNA from 1 species
GCCGGUAUAGCUCAGUUGGUAGAGCGCCUCAUUCGUAAUGAGGAAGUCCGUGGUUCGAAUCCGCGUACCGGCAUCA